rnacentral:rRNA from 1 species
GACGAACCGUGCGAACGGUGUUCGGAAUCACUGGGCUUAAAGGGUGCGUAGGCGGGUUGUCCAGUCUGGGGUGAAAUCCCACGGCUCAACCGUGGAAUUGCCUCAGAUACUGACGACCUCGAGGGAGGUAGGGGCGAGCGGAACUGGGGGUGGAGCGGUGAAAUGCGUUGAUAUCCACAGGAACUCCGGUGGCGAUGGCGGCUCGCUGGACCUCUUCUGACGCUGAGGCACGAAAGCUAGGGGAGCAAACGGG